rnacentral:rRNA from 1 species
GACGAACGCUGGCGGCGUGCUUAACACAUGCAAGUCGAACGGAGUGGCGAACGGGUGAGUAACACGUGGGUGACCUGCCCUGCACUUCGGGAAAAGCCUGGGAAACUGGGUCUAAUACCGGAUAGUGAGGGACGGGUCCGCGGCCUAUCAGUUUGUUGGGGGGGUAAUGGCCUACCAAGGCGGCGACGGGAAGCCGGCCUGAGAGGGUGGACGGCCACAUUGGGACUGAGACACGGCCCAGACUCCUACGGGAGGUAGCAGGGGGGAAUAUUGCGCAAUGGGCGGAAGUCUGAUGCAGCGACGCCGCGUGGGGGAUGACGGCCUUAGGGUUGUAAAGUACUUUCGGCGGGGAGGGUUAAUACCAUUAUCAAUUGACGUUACCCGAAGAGGAAGCAACGGCUAACUCCGUGCCAGCCGCCGCGGUAAUUC